rnacentral:misc_RNA from 1 species
CAUGCCUCGUCUGAGCAAUCCCAAUGGGCAGCAACCAGCCAGUACAUUGCUGUCUCAUACUCACUGAACAAAGGUCAGUUCUUCCAAUUCCGACUGCUGAUUUCGCCAAAACUGUUUGGGAUUCAGGGAAACAGGAGCAAAAACAAAGCUAAACGAUAAACCAAGGUACAUUAGUUUCAUUUUCAGCUAAUUUUCAAAUUAUUCGAAUCGAUCUACGGAUUACAGCCAUUCAGCCAAUCUAUUUUGGAACAUUUCCAUGCGAUUUCGCAGCUGAAAAGAUCAAUUUUGUUGUUAGCUUUAGAAUUCUUGACAAUGGAGAUGAAUUAGAAAGAAAGAAAAAGUGUGAUUAGUUUUUGGAAUUCAUUAAUGUUGAAAAUUAAAAUAUGGAAGUGGAACCUAAAUCACCUUCGAAGAUUAAGCUUUCAAUCAUGGGUUUCACUCGGUAUAAACGGGUCAUGAGAAUAUGUAUAGUUAGUCUAGUGAUUUUGUUGUUAUUGGCUGGUGGUUAUUUCACAUUUGAGCCGAGCAAGGCUCGCGACUUAGUAAAGGGUGAUUACUAUGCGGUUGCCAAUUGAGGAUGCUAGGCAUGUUUUGGAUGAUGUGGAGCAUGUGCCGAAGGAACACACAUUUGUUUCUCGAAGAAGUUGGAUAAGGGUAUUGGGUGGGAAAGAAGAAGCUUAUUAUGGCUGGGUGGCUUUGAACUAUAAAAUGGGGAAUUUGGGAAAUUCAUUGCAGGGGCCUACACUGGGACUUCUAGAUCUGGGAGGUUCAUCAUUGCAGGUUGUUGUGGAAGUUCAUGAUGGGGCAAGAGACAAUAUGCACUUGAUACGAACAAAGAUUGGCUCCGUUGGACACCAGAUUUUAGCAUACUCAUUGCCAUCAGUUGGCUUGAACGAGGCAUUUGAUAGAACAGUUGCCAUGCUCCGGCAGUUGCAACCCAUUAAAGGAAGUACUGAUUAAAAAUUCAAACUCAGGCAUCCUUGUCUACGUUCUGAUUUUCUGCAAAAUUAUACUUGCUAUGCUUGCAAUGGGCCUAACAUCAUUCAUAAAAAGAAUUUGGGUGGUCAAAGUCAUAAAAGUGAAUAUAUUUAUUUGGUUGGAGAUCCAGAUUGGGAGCAAUGCAAAGUAAUUGCCAGGGCUGCUGCUCUUAACUUGAGCAGUUCAGAUUGGUCACAGCCAACAGUCACUAAUUGGAAAGCAAGACUGUCUUCAUACAAUGGCUGUAGCAUUCUUAAUUUGACAGCUUACCCAACCGGACGCUUUCAUGCUUUGUCAGGAUUUUUUGCCAUUUACAACACACUAGAUCUGGUACCAAGAGCAAAUUUGACCAAGACCUGGGAGAGAGGUGUGCAGCUGUGCUCACAAUCAUGGGGUGACUCAAGCAACAUCUCCAGAAACCAAAACUACUUUGGACAGUACUGUUUCCGAGUCCCUUAUGUGGCAUCACUUCUUGAAGAUGCAUUGUGUCUAGGUGGUAAAGAAAUAGUAUUUGGUCCUGGGGAUCUAUCUUGAACCUCAGGAGCUGCACUUGUUGAAGGGGAGUACCUAUGGCUAAGCAUUUCCAAAACAAGCAUUUCAUCCCUGAAAAUCAUGGAUGUUAUGUAUUCCCCCAUUUUAGUUUUCUUAUUACUUAAGUCUCUCUUAUUUAUUGUUUACUGUAGUCAAAUCAAGCUCCCUAUGCUGGGAAACAAGGUUCCUACUGUUGGGCCAUCUUUGCCAUCUUACCUUUACCCAAAAAGCCGUCCAAAUUAAUGCUUCAUCACAGCCUUGUUAAGUAAAGAACUUGCCAGAUAUUAAUUAUUGUACCUUUCAUGUACAAUAAACAGUUCAUUCAUUCUUUUAGAUUAGAAAUAUCAGUUAGAAUGUGGAAAGCGUGUCUACAGGAUUCUGAUAAUUAUAA